GGUCAACUGGUGUAGUGGUUAUCACGUCUGUCUUACAACUUCACUGUAAUAGUGUAUUGUGAGGACACAGAAGGUCGCAGGUUCGAUCCCUGCGUUGAUCA